AUCUACGGCCACUCUGAACAUAGCCGAUCUCAUCUGAUCUCAGAAGCUAGGCAGGGUCGGGCCUGGUUAGUACUUGGAUGGGAGGCCACGUAGGAAUACCAGGUGCUGUAGGCU
rnacentral:rRNA from 1 species